AUUGAACGCUGGCGGCAGGCCUAACACAUGCAAGUCGAGCGGGGGUAGCAAUACCCUAGCGGCGAACGGGUGAGGAAUGCUUGGGAAUCUGCCUGGUAGUGGGGGAUAACGCUUCGAAAGGAACGCUAAUACCGCAUACGUCCUACGUGAGAACGGGGGGGAUGUUCGGACCUCUCGCUAUCACAUGAGCUCAAGCGGGAUUAGCUAGUUGGUGGGGUAACGGCUCACCAAGGCGACGAUCCCUAGCUGGUCUGAGAGGAUGAUCAGCCACACUGGAACUGAGACACGGUCCAGACUCCUACGGGAGGCAGCAGUGGGGAAUAUUGGACAAUGGGCGAAAGCCUGAUCCAGCCAUGCCGCGUGUGUGAAGAAGGCCUUCGGGUUGUAAAGCACUUUAAGCGAGGAGGAAGGUUCGUCACCUAAUACGUGACGGAAUUGACGUUACUCGCAGAAUAAGCACCGGCUAACUCUGUGCCAGCCGCCGCAGUAAAAC
rnacentral:rRNA from 1 species